GCUUCCGCUUCUACUGGUGAUAUGGGAAGGGCCCACUCACUGAACUAACUCCCUUCCCUCUACUCCCAGAGCCCGCCCGGCAGGACCACCGAGCAAGGCCUUGGAAAACCAGAGAGAUUAGAGCGCAGAAUGGGGAAAUGGAGAGAGAACCUGAAAGAGCCCCAAACUCGAGGACCUAUUGCUCCCCAAGAAUAACAUCUUCCAGAAGAACUAGACAGAAAACUAGGCGUCUGGGAACUCUGAAAUCCUUGGAGGAGUAGCAUCAUCAUGACCCUCUGUGUUCCUUUUGGCAAAGGACUUGCUCCCAUUGUUUGCUUGUUCCAUUGUCUGUCUGUUAAAUAAAUAAAACCCUUUUCAUAUAUCUUUAAACUUA
rnacentral:lncRNA from 1 species